rnacentral:tRNA from 1 species
UGGAUCACCUCCUAACAGGGAGACAACAAAAUGUUUAAUAUUAUUAUUUUGUCACCUUAGGUCGAUCGGUAUCUCACAUCCUUAAUUUAUUAAGGAUUUCAUUUCCUAAGUUUUUCUAGGUCACACCCAUUUUUUUCCUGGGCCAUUAGCUCAGGUGGUUAGAGCGCACCCCUGAUAAGGGUGAGGUCCCUGGUUCAAGUCCAGGAUGGCCCAUAUCUCUAUGUUGGGGGUAUAGCUCAGUUGGUAGAGCGCCUGCUUUGCAAGCAGGAUGUCAGCGGUUCGAGUCCGCUUACCUCCACUGAUUACCACCUCUUCCAUAAUCUGUAAGUAGGAAAAAAUUUUGAGUGGUGACCAAAUUCUGAACGAAUCUAGCUUCCUAAUGAAAUCAUUAAGAUGCUGGACUCAUUGAAUUAAUUUCAUUGUUUUCAGAGAACCUUGACAACUGCAUAGAUUAUUUUAAAAGACAAUAAGCAUCUUUAAUGAUGCAGAUUUAUUAUUUGUGCGAAUGCAUUAAUAACAAUUCUAUUAAGCUGAUGCUUCAAUUUUUGAAGUUAUUGGUCAAGCUACAAAGGGCUCACGGAGGAUACCUAGGCACACAGAGGCGAUGAAGG